AGCGAACGCUGGCGGCAGGCCUAACACAAGCAAGUCGAACGGACCCUUCGGGGUUAGUGGCGGACGGGUGAGUAACACGUGGGAACGUGCCCUUUGGUUCGGAACAACUCAGGGAAACUUGAGCUAAUACCGAAUGUGCCCUUCGGGGGAAAGAUUUAUCGCCAUUGGAGCGGCCCGCGUCUGAUUAGCUAGUUGGUGGGGUAAUGGCCUACCAAGGCGACGAUCAGUAGCUGGUCUGAGAGGAUGAUCAGCCACAUUGGGACUGAGACACGGCCCAAACUCCUACGGGAGGCAGCAGUGGGGAAUCUUGCGCAAUGGGCGAAAGCCUGACGCAGCCAUGCCGCGUGAAUGAUGAAGGUCUUAGGAUUGUAAAAUUCUUUCACCGGGGACGAUAAUGACGGUACCCGGAGAAGAAGCCCCGGCUAACUUCGUGCCAGCCGCCGCCGUAACAC
rnacentral:rRNA from 1 species